AAAAUUUAAAUUUAAAAUACUAAAAUAGUAAAUAAAUGUUUAUUGAAACUUAAAUAAUUUGGCGGUAUUUUAGUUCAUUUAGAGGAAUCUGUUUAAUAAUUGAUAAUCCACGAAUAAAUUUACUUAAUUUAUAAUUUUGUAUAUCGUUGUUAAAAAAAUAUUUUUUAAUAAAAUUAAUAUUUAAAAAUUAGAAUAUAAAUUUAAAUCAGAUCAAGAUGCAGAUUAUAAUUAAGAAUAUAAUGGAUUACAAUAAAUUUAUUUAAAUGAAUUUUAAUUUGUAAAAAUUAAUUGAAAGUGGAUUUAAAUGUAAUUUUAUUUAAUUUAAUAAAAUGAUUAAAAAUUAAAAUAUGU
rnacentral:rRNA from 1 species